UUAGAGAUCGUUAGUCCGCACGAGCGCACCCUUGUCUUUAGUUGCCAGCAUUUAGUUGGGCACUCUAAAGGGACUGCCCAGGAUAACUCUGGGGAAGGGGGGGAUGACGUCCAAUCAUCAUGCCCCUUUUGCACAGGGCUACCCACGUGCUACAAUGGGUGGUACAAAAGGGUUGCCAAAUCCGAGGUGGAGCUAAUCCCUUAAAGCCUUUCUCAGUUCGGAUUGUAGGCUGAAACUCGCCUACAUGAAGCUGGAAUUACUAGUAAUCGCAGAUCAGAAUGCUGCGGUGAAUGCGUUCCCGGGCCUUGUAAC
rnacentral:rRNA from 1 species